rnacentral:rRNA from 1 species
UACAGAGGUCUCAAGCGUUGUUCGGAUUCAUUGGGCGUAAAGGGUGCGUAGGCGGCGCGGUAAGUCGGGUGUGAAAUCUCGGAGCUUAACUCCGAAACUGCAUUCGAUACUGCCGUGCUUGAGGACUGGAGAGGAGACUGGAAUUUACGGUGUAGCGGUGAAAUGCGUAGAUAUCGUAAGGAAGACCAGUGGCGAAGGCGGCUUUCUGGUCUGUAAACUGACGCUGAGGCGCGAAAGCGUGGGGAGCGAACAGG